rnacentral:tRNA from 1 species
UUCUGGUUAGCUCAGUUGGUAGAGUGUUCUACUUAAAAUGGAGAGGUCCCCGGUUCGGUACCUGGACCAGGUG